rnacentral:rRNA from 1 species
UACGUAGGUGGCGAGCGUUAUCCGGAAUUAUUGGGCGUAAAGAGCGCGCAGGUGGUUGAUUAAGUCUGAUGUGAAAGCCCACGGCUUAACCGUGGAGGGUCAUUGGAAACUGGUCGACUUGAGUGCAGAAGAGGGAAGUGGAAUUCCAUGUGUAGCGGUGAAAUGCGUAGAGAUAUGGAGGAACACCAGUGGCGAAGGCGGCUUCCUGGUCUGUAAACUGACAGCUGAGGCGCGAAAGCCAGGGGAGCGAACGGG